rnacentral:lncRNA from 1 species
GGAAACACUCAGGCAUCAACAGGCUCACCCUUGAAAUGCAUCCUAAGCCAUUGGGACCAAUUUGACCUGCAAAUCCUGAAAAAUAGAAUCUACAAAAUACCUCCCAUGGUAACAAGAAAACAACACACAAUCAAAACAAAUGAAGUGCUUCCCAAACACCAUCUUCUUCAAGGGAGGAGACCAGCACGGAGUCACUACAAGUUGUUUCUUCUACCAACGGUACCACAAAUGGCCCCAAAGGCCCAAAUGGGAUUCAAAAUGGAGUCAGUGCUGUUACAAUAAGAUCUUCUACUCAAUAAAGAAGCAAAAGUACUCACAGCAGAGUGGGAAAAAAAAGGAAAAAAAUUGCAUAUGGUUUACUUCAUGUUUCAGCAGAGUACUGUAUAGAAAGUGGGAGAGGAAAGAAU